UCUCUCUCUCUCUCUCUCUCUCUCAUUGACCCCUCACUUGCCCGCUCACCCCUCACCACUCGGGCACCUCUCUACCACCUGUUGUCGUUUCAUCAAUUGUUAGUGGAAUCCUUAACCUUCAACUAGGGCGAUGAGCUAUGAGACUUGUAGAUAUGGAUGUCUCAUCCCCUUACGACUUACCGAUGUCCUUGGAUGUGUCCGUCAUCAAUAUGGUUGAUGUAGAGAAUGACGUAAUUUAUUGUAAUAAUUCCAUCGCAUGGAUCGAAGAAGGCUUGGACGACUGGGUUCCUCAUCGCUAUGUAGCAUGGUAUGCGUGGUUUGAUGGCAAUCUCACAAGGUUACUCCGAGGCUUCAAUGGACCAUUCGAGUUCACUAGUGGGUCCAUGCCUAACCGAAUGGUGAUCAACCUUUAGGGUAAAUUACAUGGCGACAGGCAUACCAAUUUUGGAGCCGUGGCCAUGCUAGAGGAGAUAGGAAUCCCCUGGCCUACUCGGAUAAAAGGAUAAUAUAAAUAAGGGAGUGCCCAUAGAAAAAGGCCAUGUAAAUGUACCUACGCAUAAUGAAAGUAGUGUAUUAUGUGAUGUGUUUUCCUAACUGCUUGAUUGUUGUCUAGGUGAUUGCUUUUGUACAUGCUUUAACUUGCUUGUAAGAACAAGAUGAAUUGAAAAGAAAUGGGUCGACAACAUGCCUGGGACGUUGUAUCCCUAUCGGCU